GUUAUCAGAGAAACCUGGAAAUCUUCAUGAAUACUACAAAAACAGCCUUCAAAGAGAAUAGUAACACAAGCAAGGCCAUUUAUGGCAAUCUGGAAAAAAUCCAGAAACUUCCUCUGCCUGAAUGCAUCUCACAGAAAUGUGACUGCCCUGAAGCCAGUCAUCAGUUCGAAAAAUUGAAAGAUGAUCUAGACACAUUUUUGCGAUGGAUUUUGAUUUGGUUUUCUCAACACAAUUGAAAAAGACAGUUCCCAGGCCACAGACAGAUCACCCUUUUACCACUGGUGAAAACAGCCUUCUCCAGACCUUGGAAUCUUUGCCUUCA